rnacentral:rRNA from 1 species
UACAGAGGUUGCAAGCGUUGUUCGGAAUUAUUGGGCGUAAAGGGCGCGUAGGCGGCCUUCUAAGUCAGACGUGAAAUCCCCCGGCUUAACCUGGGAACUGCGUCUGAUACUGGGAGGCUCGAGUAUGGGAGAGGGAUGUAGAAUUCCAGGUGUAGCGGUGAAAUGCGUAGAUAUCUGGAGGAAUACCGGUGGCGAAGGCGGCAUCCUGGACCAUUACUGACGCUGAGGCGCGAAAGCUAGGGGAGCAAACGGG